AGGUGCUGCAUGGCUGUCGUCAGCUCGUGUCGUGAGAUGGUUGGGUUAACGUCCCGUAACGAGCGCAACCCUUGUCCUUAGUUACCAGCACGUUAUGGUGGGCACUCUAAGGAGACUGCCGGUGACAAACCGGAGGAAGGUGGGGAUGACGUCAAGUCAUCAUGGCCCUUACGGCCUGGGCUACACACGUGCUACAAUGGUCGGUACAAAGGGUUGCCAAGCCGCGAGGUGGAGCUAAUCCCAUAAAACCGAUCGUAGUCCGGAUCGCAGUCUGCAACUCGACUGCGUGAAGUCGGAAUCGCUAGUAAUCGUGAAUCAGAAUGUCACGGUGAAUACGUUCCCGGGCCUU
rnacentral:rRNA from 1 species